ensembl:lncRNA
GCAAAACUGGCCUGGCCAGGUAGUGCUGCACCUGCUGCUGCCACGGCUGACCCAGAAACCACACUGCCUCUGCGGCAGGCCGGAACGCUGCCCACGCAGGAAGCUGUGCUGAUGCUGAUGCUGAUGCUGCUCAGCAUCCACGAGGUUAGAGACUGACUAGACGUUAGUGCCUUUGUCACCCCUGCUGGAGAAGGUCCAAAGCACCUCCACCCUGUGCUUCUAGAGGAGCAGUGUGGUGGCCCUAACAAUGCUCACGCUGCAUCAUGUACCAGAGUAUCUGCCUGGGGAUCCCCGAGGGCGGCUCAUGGCGUCAGCUCAGGAGGACAGUUGGAGAACCACUGACUGAAAUGAUGACAUUUCUUGCUUCUUUAACUGUCCAGCAGCAGCUGUGUUUAUAUUCCUGACCCGAGUCAUGGUUUUCCUUCAGGAACCGUCUGUACCUGGAAGUGCUGAGGCCUGCAAGCAGUGCGUUCAACUUCACAGUGUACCUAGAGACAGGGCCUUUGUGUGGUUUUGGAAUUGCUCUCCAUGCAUUCCCCAAGUCGUGAGCCUCCAGGUCCACUCCACCAGUUGACCUACUUUUUCAGCUGAAAGACAAUGGCCUGGCUUCCUAAAGUCCUAUGUCUAUAGAUUCCAGCCAGGUGGGACCCAAGGUGCCUAUUGAGUUAAUUUCAAAGGUGUAAUGUGUAAUGGAAGAAGGACGGGACGUGGAAUAUGGAGUUUGGAGUCAGAAGACAGGUUCAAGGCAAACUAAUCUAUGGUGUAGAAGUCAGACAGUGGUUAGGAGUUUACUGGAAAAGGGCACGAGGGGACUUUCUGGGUGAUGGAAAUGUUCCAUAUCCUUUCCUGGUGGUAGUUACACAAGUGUAUACAUUUGUCAAAUUCAUCAAACGACACUGAAGAUCUGUGUGUUUUUUACUGAAUGUAAAUUAUACAGCAGUUUUAAAAAGGGCAGGUUCAAGUCCUGGCCCUCUCUGCUACAUACUGUACAGACCACUUCUUCAUCCCUUGGCCUUGUUUUCCCACCUACAAAAUGGAAGGACCACUUGUACCUGUGCUGUGGGGGAUCGCGUACAUUAAUGAGACCGCGUGAGUCAGAAUGCUCUGCAAAUGAUAAGCAGCCCAUCCAUGGUGACUCCCAUUGUUAUGCUUUCCAGCCAGCUGCCCUCGAGAGCAGAUUACCGAGCUGGUACAAAUCUGUGGGCUCUGCUUUGCAACUUCCUUGGAGAUUAGUGUUUAUCUGUCUAUUUUAAGGAGACUCUGGAGAUAUCAAAAUGCUGCAGAAAAGCAAAUGGAAUAUGGAUUUGCCAGGGAGAGGAGAGCAGGCUGGAAAGGAACAGCUGGGGAGAGAGCCAUCAAUCCAGCACGGCAGCAGGGCCAGACGGACGCCGAGAGGGAGCCGCUAAAUGCCUGUGAGAGUCGUGACCAGUGAAAGCAGCAUAUUUCUGCCAAGAAAUGUGAUAUGUUGAAAAAGAAGAGGAAAUAUACUCUGGAGGCUGUGACUAUAAAAGGCUGUUUAAAGUGAUCGGAAUCAGUCGAGGUUCUCCCAGCAACCGUGGUUAUAAAAUUAGGAUCUUAAACUACCAAAUCUGGGUGAGAAAAAAAAACUUCAGUAAAAGCGACAUCUAAAUUUAUGUUAUAUAACUUACAUUUCCCCACAGUGUUUGUCUUUUCUCUGGGCACGUCAGACCUUUUAUGUCGUUAAUUUCCGACCCUAAGAGCCAUUCCUAUUGGAGCAAGGCAGCGAGAUGGGGUGAGGGGGCACCGUGAGAAAGCAGGGGUGUCUUUCCUGUGACCUCUGAAUUGGAAAGAGGGCGCCACGGUGAGAUGCCGACAUGUGCACGUGGGGUGUGUCAGUGUGUUGAUGCCCGUGCUCAGGAUGCUGAACAAAACCUGGGUGGGAGGAGCUUUCCCCACCCAGGCCUUUGUCUCACUGGAAAUCUGAUGCCUUAAACCUCCGCCUCAACCCUCAGUGACUCCAGUCUGUAGCUGUACUGCUCUGUUAGUCAGCCCGCACAGCAUCUGAGACUUGGCCUUUUGCAGCCUGGUGCUAGCUCCAUAGGCUUCUUCGCCCCCCUUUGUCGAGGUCUUCAGCAACAGUUGAAGCUACAACUUCUGCUCCAAGUGACUCGGGGCUGUGAAUCGUCAGAGAAUCCAUUAUUUCUCCCUGGUUUUGGAGCUGACAGACAUGGGUGUGAAGCUCAGGUCCGUCGCUUAUUGGCCAAUUAGGAAAACUCUGUGAACACUGAUUUUCUUGCCUUGAAGGAUGGCACAGAGCUGAUACGCAUGAGCUAUAAUUAGCUGCUUAACAUUUUUGCCAGUGACUUGAAUGGACCUUGAUGGUGAGAUUGCCAAGUCAGCAGGCAACCAGAAACAAACAACAGACUCAAGGUCUCAAAGACUGUGUUUUUGUCCCAAAUCAACUUUCCAAGUACAGAACUGGGGGACAUGUGAUUUAAUGGCAGCACCUGUGUGAUCCUGUGAUAUAAUAAGAAAUAUGUAUUUUGUCUUCAUCCCUCGUUCCUGGUACCAGAUCUUCUAAAACCCUUGGAAUUUCCUGAGUGACAGGGGUGACAGGAGCAUCUUUGUUAUUUAUAAUAAGCCCCUUUCAACCAUACUUGAGUUUAUGCUAAUGAAGUGACCCUUGUGGUGGUGGUGGUGGGGGGGUCCCUUGAGAGCUUCAGGAUGGGAGCUCAUCGCCUAUGUGAUUAGAG